UACAGAGGGUGCAAGCGUUGUUCGGAAUUACUGGGCGUAAAGCGCGUGUAGGCGGUUUUUCAAGUCCUGUGUGAAAGCCCUGGGCUCAACCCAGGAAGUGCGCAGGAUACUGGAUGACUGGAGUGGCGGAGAGGAUGGCGGAAUUCCCGGUGUAGAGGUGAAAUUCGUAGAUAUCGGGAGGAACACCUGUGGCGAAGGCGGCCAUCUGGACGUUCACUGACGCUGAGACGCGAAAGCGUGGGUAGCAAACAGG
rnacentral:rRNA from 2 species